rnacentral:rRNA from 1 species
AACGAACGCUGGCGGCAUGCCUAACACAUGCAAGUCGAACGAAGGCUUCGGCCUUAGUGGCGCACGGGUGCGUAACGCGUGGGAAUCUGCCCUUGGGUUCGGAAUAACAGUGAGAAAUUACUGCUAAUACCGGAUGAUGACUUCGGUCCAAAGAUUUAUCGCCCAAGGAUGAGCCCGCGUAGGAUUAGCUAGUUGGUGAGGUAAAGGCUCACCAAGGCGACGAUCCUUAGCUGGUCUGAGAGGAUGAUCAGCCACACUGGGACUGAGACACGGCCCAGACUCCUACGGGAGGCAGCAGUGGGGAAUAUUGGACAAUGGGCGAAAGCCUGAUCCAGCAAUGCCGCGUGAGUGAUGAAGGCCUUAGGGUUGUAAAGCUCUUUUACCCGGGAAGAUAAUGACUGUACCGGGAGAAUAAGCUCCGGCUAACACCGUGCCAGCCGCCGCGGUAACAC